rnacentral:rRNA from 1 species
AGUGAACGCUGGCGGUAGGCCUAACACAUGCAAGUCGAACGGCAGCACCUUAAGAGCUUGCUCUUACGGGUGGCGAGUGGCGGACGGGUGAGGAAUACAUCGGAAUCUACUUUUUCGUGGGGGAUAACGUAGGGAAACUUACGCUAAUACCGCAUACGACCUACGGGUGAAAGCAAGAGAUCUUCUGACCUUGCGCGGUUGAAUGAGCCGAUGUCGGAUUAGCUAGUUGGCGGGGUAAAGGCCCACCAAGGCGACGAUCCGUAGCUGGUCUGAGAGGAUGAUCAGCCACACUGGAACUGAGACACGGUCGAGACUCCUACGGGAGGCAGCAGUGGGGAAUAUUGGACAAGGGGGGAAAGCCGGAUCCAGCGAUACCGCGUGGGUGAAGAAGGCCCUCGGGUGGGAGAGCCCUUUUGUUGGGAAAGAAAAGCAGCAGGUUAAUACCCCGAUGUACUGACGGUACCCAAAGAAUAAGCACCGGCUAACUUUGUG